GGGGCUGUCUGGCUUUGACAGCGGGCAGGAAUGGUACGUAAGCAGGCAGUGCUCUGUCAGUCCGCACUAUAAAAAGACGGUCAACAAUUAUCUGGCACAGAAAACUUUGCUCUUGCUGCCUGAUCGAAGUACAGUAGAUCGGCUUAAUCACGACACAAGGUGUUGUGACAAGACAUCACCCGGAAGCUCUUGCUCCGAAGCUCGUCGAUACGGUGGUGCAGUCAAAUCGGGGAUAGUUCCUGGCGGCUUCGCGUCAUGAAUGAAACAACAGAAGAUAAGGUUCAGGCCAGGUUGCUCCGGCCAAGCCUGUUCCCGACAAUCCAAUCGGAGAUAAGCCUGUAGAAAGCGUAUGGUUUCCCCGUUUGGACGAGGGUUCGACUCCCUCCAGCUCCACAA
rnacentral:tmRNA from 1 species